GGGGAAUUAGCUCAAGUGGUAGAGCGCUCGCUUAGCAUGCGAGAGGCAGCGGGAUUGAUGCCCGCAUUCUCCA
rnacentral:tRNA from 1 species